CGGGGAGCUGAGUCUCAGAAGCUGUUGCUAUGGCAUUUUUAACCCUUUUGCCACUGGCUCAAGAGAGGAAGUUCCUCCAGGGGAACUUGGUGGGCAACGAUGUUCCCACCUGCCAGCCGCGAUGUGUUUGCCUUUGCCACAGCCGACACUCUGUGAUGCCCAGCGCCUCGGACACAUCUGGCAGCGCAUCGGACACAUCUGGCAGGAUGUGUGGAGGUAGCAUGUAAAUACCUCACCGUUUUUGUUUACAUUAACUGUUGCUAUGACAAAACAUCCUGAACAGGGGGUAGGAAAUUACUCAGUGGUUAAGAGCACUUUCUGCUCUUCCAGAGGACCCAACUUUGCACCCUAGCACCAUGCGGAGGGGGUGCGCACGAGAUGAGAUACUUUGGGAGACCAGAAUAGAGCACUACACAUUCUUAGUUCCUAAGCCAUCUGUCCAGCCCCUGGGUACCAAACAAAAAAGAAGACUGAUAAACAGCCUCUCGAAUGGUUCGUGUUCCCGAAGUGCUAAUAAGAGAGACCCAUGGAGUGUGUGUACUUUGAAUACCAUUAAUACCAUUGGUGGGCAGACUUGGUGAAACCCCAGCUCCUGCCACGUCCCAGCUAGUGAGCCUCAGGCAAGCUGCUUCCCAACUUCCCCAGGCUGUUAUCAGACACCUGAAAAAAAAUGGAUAUUAAAAAAUUAUCGAGGG
rnacentral:lncRNA from 1 species